UAUAUGCACAUAUUUGACAUGCUGGGACCUGGAACCGCGGAAAGUACUGUUUUUUUAAAGCACAUAACCAGCCUGGCUGGCCAGAGCGGCGGCCAAGGCGUGAGCCUGUGCUCACCUCCGCGUUCAUCUUUCGCUACGGAAUCUUUGCUUAAUUCCUCGCGCGGCUCGGUCUCACCGCCACCAGGAAGCCCGCUUGGACAAACAAGAGAGACGCCAGCAGAGAGAGCAGGGGAGUCGCAGAAGGGGGUGGCUCUGAUGAGACCUCCUGGUCAGCCGCCUCUAAGCCGCACCCGGGAGCAGGAGUGAUCCGGAGACCCUAAGAUUCAGGGAGACCCGAUCUUCUUCCCGGGUCCUCUGGCUCUUGGGCGCAGGCGUAGGUGCAGGUGCGGCUUCCCUACCAUUCUCCUACCCUGGCGCAUCCCGCUGCGGCCGCCCUGG